rnacentral:misc_RNA from 1 species
GAUGAAGAACGCAGCGAAAUGCGAUAAGUAAUGUGAAUUGCAGAAUUCAGUGAAUCAUCGAAUCUUUGAACGCACAUUGCGCCCUUUGGUAUUCCGAAGGGCAUGCCUGUUCGAGCGUCAUUUCACCACUCAAGCCUGGCUUGGUAUUGGGCGCCGCGGUCGAUCCGCGCGCCUCAAAGUCUCCGGCUGAGCUGUCCGUCUCUAAGCGUUGUGAUUUCAUUAAUCGCUUCGGAGUGCGGGCGGCCGCGGCCGUUAACUCUUUCACAAGGUUGACCUCGGAUCAGGUAGGGAUACCCGCUGAACUUAAGCAUAUCAAUAAGCGGAGGA